AGUGAACGCUGGCGGUAGGCCUAACACAUGCAAGUCGAACGGCAGCACAGUAAGAGCUUGCUCUUACGGGUGGCGAGUGGCGGACGGGUGAGGAAUACAUCGGAAUCUACUUUUUCGUGGGGGAUAACGUAGGGAAACUUACGCUAAUACCGCAUACGACCUACGGGUGAAAGCAGGGGAUCUUCGGACCUUGCGCGAUUGAAUGAGCCGAUGUCGGAUUAGCUAGUUGGCGGGGUAAAGGCCCACCAAGGCGACGAUCCGUAGCUGGUCUGAUAGGAUGAUCAGCCACACUGGAACUGAGACACGGUCCAGACUCCUACGGGAGGCAGCAGUGGGGAAUAUUGGACAAUGGGCGCAAGCCUGAUCCAGCCAUACCGCGUGGGUGAAGAAGGCCUUCGGGUUGUAAAGCCCUUUUGUUAGGAAAGAAAAGCAGCAGGUUAAUACCCCGCUGUUCUGACGGUACCCAAAGAAUAAGCACCGGCUAACUUCGUG
rnacentral:rRNA from 1 species